CUAAGAUACCUUCUAAUAUGAGUGUCUCCCCACUUUUCAAGGUAAAGUUUAACUUCUUUGGAACUGUUCCUAUGGUCCUUCAUGCCUCAAAAUAAUAAGAGCCAUCUAUGACAAAACCACAGCCAACAUCACACUGAAUGGGCAAAAGCUGGAUGCAUUCCCCUCGAAACCAGCACAAGGCAAGGAUGCCCUCUCACCACUCUUAAUUCAACAUAACAAUGGGAGUUCUGGCCAGAGCAAUCAGGCAAGAAAAAGAAAUAAAGGACAUUCAAAUAGGUAGGAAGGAAGUCAAACUGUCAGACUUAAUGACAUGAUCCUGUAUCUAGCAAACCCAUAGUCUCAGCCAUCAGUGCUCACCAAUGGUAGACUGGAUAAACAAAACGUGGUACAUAUGCACCAAGGAAUGCUACGCAGCCAUAAAAACGAAUGCAAUUAUAUCCUUUGCGGGGACACGGAUGGAGCUGGAGGCUAUUGUCCUCAGCAAAUAAAUGCAGGAAUAGAAAACCAAAUACAGCAUGUUCUCAGUUAUAACUGGUAGCUAAAUGAUGUGAACACGUGGACAAAUAGAGGGCAACAACACACACUGGGGCCUAUUGAAGGGGUGGAGGUUGGGCGGAGGAAGAAAAUCAGGAAAAAUAACUAGUGGGUACUAGGAUUAAUACCUGGGUGAUGAAAUAAUCUUCACAACAAACCCCCAUGAAACAAGUUUACCCAUAUAACAAACUUGUGCAUGGACACCUAAACUUAAAAUAAAAGUUAAAUAAAAAAGAUAAGUAAUGCCUAUGAUAUCUAAACUAUCACCUUCAAAUUUCUACUCAAAUUAUUGCUUCCAUCUUUUUACAAAUGGUUUCCAAAACUUGAAGUCUGAUAAAGCAAUUUAAACAUCAAUGAUAUUUUGCAUUUCUUUCUUGAACAUUUUAAAACAGAAAACAGAAGCUGGGAAAACAUAGUCCAUUACUGAGUAGUUGUACAGCAGUAGUUACGUAGUUUUAUUGACAUCUGUCAUGUCAAACAUUUAUUAUUCAAAGAUAAAUAUUGUUUCAGCUAUUUUAGUUAAAUCUUUUAAAUGUUGAAAAGCAGUCAGGUUUUUGGUAUAAAAGUCAUGUAAAGAUGUGGAUGACUCCACAUUUCAAGAUAAUUUAAGAAACUUUAACUACAACUGAAAAUGAUAAAGCUAAACUAAUAGUCAUUUAUCAUUAAAAUUAUAAGAAGCAAUUGAGAAUGAUGAUUGAUUCAAAAUCAACUGCAAGUUUAAGUGAAAUGACAUAUAAGGAAAUCAAUUUUACCUCAAGUUAAUUUAUAUCUAAACAAGAGUAAAGAUCCCAUGGCAUAUUUCUGGUAAUAAAAACAUCACGAAACUUCUAAAUAAAGCCCCAAACACUUAUAAUAUUAAACAUAAAAUAAAUGUGAGCUAUACGUACAUUUAAGAAAUAUUAAUACAAACAAGGAAGAUAAUUAUUACCCAAUAAUUCCAGUUGAGGGUCAUGGGGUGGGGCAGGGCUUAUUCCAGCAGCCAGGGUGCAAGACAGGAACCAACACUGAACAGGGCUCCAUCCCAUUGCAGGGCACACUCAGACACACACCCACUCUCACUCAGACUGGGAGUGAUUCAUUUAGACAUGCCAAUUCACCUCAUGGGCUCAUGUUUGGGAUGUGAAAGGAAACCAGAGAAAUCCACAGACGAGGGAGAAUAUGCAAUCUCCAUACAGAUAGUGGUCCCAGCCAGGAACUGAAUUUUUUUCUCAUCAACGUUAUAACCAUAUGACCUUAAACAAAUGACAUUAUUCAAGGACCUGCUGUACUUUGCUCAUAAGCAAAUUUGCAUUUUCAUAUUUUAAAAUUUUGUUUGUAAGUACAAACAUACACACGAAUGCACAUUCACACACUGUCUUCUUAGUUUCCAUACAAAUACAAGAUUUUUCUACCCUGCAGUUCGUUUUUGCUGGAAAUUCUAUUACUACUGUCUUCAGAUGAAAAAUUUAUGCCUAAAUUUUUACCACCUUCAGUUUCAUAUCUAAUGCUUUUGACUUGUAAAUUAACAUAUUGAAGAAAAAGUGUUCACCCAAAUUCUAGUAGCAUGUUUCUAAUCUGGAUAACGGUUUUAUGCUCCCCUAUCACUCCAGCCUAACAAGUCCACAUGUGAAAAUAUGGGAAUACUUGUAAACAUUGAUUAAAAAUCUUAUUUAUGUCAAUAACUUAACCCUCUUUCACUCUUUUAAGUGUCUUUGAGGUUGCUUGUUUCCUCCACGUUUCUAAUUAAUUUUCUCAAACCAUAUUUCUAAACAGAAUUAAAUCUAUACAAAGGCACCAGACUCAGAGAAAAUCCUCAAGAAGUAUUUGGAGUUUUCCAAGACAAGGUACCCUUAUUUUACAGAACCUUCUACAUCAGUCAAGGGUCCAUCCCUGACCCAGGUCUCUCAAAUUUACCAUUUAUAUAUCCCUUCUCAUAAACACAUUGUAAAAUUAGUUUGUAGGAAUGAAGCAGAUAUAUGCAAUGUCCUUCAUUUGGAAGAUGAAGAUAAACUUCACUUUUUACAACUGACAUAUGGCUUAUUUCUUUUCCAGAGCCAGAGAGACCAUUUACAAAAUGGUUUCUCUACAUUUCUCUGAGUCCUUCAUUCUCUCUCAUCUCUAUAUGUUUAAUGCUUUCCAGAGCAUUCACUAAAGAAAUUGAAGUGAAUGACAGAGAAAUAAGGUCACUAUCUUUUUCAAAAUUGUUCCCCAAAACAAAGUCAAAAUUCAAGUUCUGCCUAUUUUAACGUUUUCUUAAUUCCAUUUUUCUUCUUCUCCCCUUUCACUAUUCUAAUCUAAAUCAUCAGUACAUGCCCCAAAUAUGUGCCUAACUGUUGUACCUGUCUCUAUUAUAAUAACAUUCAGUAUACUCAGUAUGGUAUUAUAAGAUUAAUCUAUGCAAGAUGUCAUUUUAUUCAUGAUUUAAGAUUAUACAAAGAAUCCAGAUUAUCAAAUCUCCACAGAUUUUCCUGGACAGGCAUGAAAUGGUUCCUCCAAACAGUUCUUGCAAUAAAAUCUAUCUAAAUGGGCUAAGUCAAGCACAAAACAAGCAACAAUAAGCAAAAAUUAUUCACUAAAAUAACUUUUAAAAAUGUUUUAACUGGAAGGAGAAAUAAGCAAUAGCUCAACCAUUAUAGUCACAUCUACUGAAGACCAAAAUUAAAUUUGUAAUAAAGUUAUCCAACAAUCAAUUGUAUCAAACAUAUCUUUUUUGCUUAUUACUUUUUAUUAGUAAUUAGUGAUUACUCGUGGUCACCGUUUAAGAAAGUUUAGGAAUAAACCUAUAAAAUUAACAAACAAAUGAAGUUUGCACCUCAGUGAUCGUGUCUCUUGCCCCACUACCUGGCAGUACUAACUGCCCCCAUCGAUUUCUAUGAUACUCUUUGUUUAUUUCUAUUAAACCACUUACUUUUAUAAGACGUUGAGGACAAUACUUCGUUUUUAAAUUCCUGGAAAUUACCAUAUAACUAAUUUAAUCAAAUUUUAUUGACUGAAUGGGAGAGCAAAUAAGUAUGAUAAUUCUAAAUAUUUUAAUACAACAUGACUUAAAAAAGGAAUUGGUCAAUUAUGGAUUUUUUUAAAAUAAAAUAUCCUACUUUCCAAAGAUACAGUCAAAAAGUCACAUCAUUGUGUAUUUCUAUGGCUGAAUAUAAAAAAGGAAACUGUAUAAAAUUGUGUAUUAUUUAAAACUGUAAUUGUGUACAUUUCAAAUGAAGUAAAAUGAUGUUUACGUUGCUUGGUAUAUUUAGAUAACUUAGAAACAUUUUUCCUGUUUUUUAAUUCCUUAGAUACCAAGGAAAGUAGAUAUUCAAAUAAUCUUUUUCUCUUUCCUGUUAAGCAACAAAUGAAGCAAAUAAUUGGAGGUUAAUAGCUGUCUAAGGAGAUUAAACAAUUGCUUAGCUGAGCCUAAAAAGUACAACUUUGUUAGGACAUAAAGAUUCUGAGAAAACUUUUUUCCACAAAUUAAUUUUUUAGCUUCUCAUUAUAUAUUAGUUCUCUUUUUAAGUUUCUUAAAGCAGUGAUUCCAGAAUUUCAGUGCUUUUUUUCUAGAUAUAAUGCAUUAUUUUACAAGAAAAUUGUGUAAGUCAAUACUGAAAUCUGAGACAACUUUCCUAAUCAAAUUUAAGUACAGACCAUACAGUUUAACCAAAAGGGAAUGCUGGGUUCAAUUUAUCAACCCCCUACAUCUAUGAGUUUAAUAACACAGCAAUGGUUUUUAUAAUCCUAUUUAAUUUAAGAAUGAUUAAUAAGAUUUCUAAAGGUUUCUGGAUUAAAAAUAAGGUAAGGUCUUAGGAAGUGAAUCUGCUAUUAGUCUUAAAGAAUCGAAUUUGUUUUCAGACUUCAUCUCAUACACAAAUGCAUUAUGUAAUCAAGGCAAUGUUUGAUAUUAAGAGGUGAGAUUUUUGUACUAGAUAACCUAGGUAUUUUAUGGAUAGAAGAAAUCAUGUACAUGUAUAGGCUAAAAAUAGAAAUAUUGCCUAAAAUAAUAAGACUUUAAAAAUCACAAAAUAUGUAACAUAAAUUAAUAAUCCUUUGAAUAAAAUUUGGCCUUCUAGUAAAAUAUGUGAACCAUAGUUAUUAGGACAUAAAUCCAUGUAUUUAAAAAUGUAUAUUGCUUAGGCCACAUGCCUAACUCAGUGUAUUUAAACCAUCCAAGUUAUGUUUACUAUGUUCAAAAGCUCAUUGAUUUAGGAUUCUGAAAUAGUUUGGCAGAUGAAAAAGGCUACAUGCAUGUAAUAUAAAAUCUUCAUUAAAAUAAUAAACAGUUCAGAAUUCAAGAGUGAUUUCUUUAUCCAAAGGUGAUUUUUAAAAGUUAGUAUCUGAUUGUGUCCUAAGAUAAUAUUGAUAUUUAAAUGUCAAUGCCUGGUAAAGGAGAAAUUUAAAUUUUCUGAGAAAAUAUAAAAAUGCUAGAAAUCUUCCCAACACACAGAAAUGACAAAUACUCGAGGUGAUGGAUACCCUAAAUACCCUGACCUCAUAAUUACACAUCCUAUGCAUGUAAGAAAAUUUCACAUGUACCCCAUAAACAUGUAUAAAUAUAGUGUAUCAAUAAGAACAGAGGGGCUAAUCUAAUGGAGAAAGAUAAAAUCCUAUCACUCAUUUACCAAACAAAUCAACAGAUUUUUUUAAAGGUUAGUUUUAGUGUUGUAAUUAUCAUUUCUUAUCUUAAAUCUAAUAUGAAGAAAGCCCAUAUUCUAAAUCUCUUUCCUUUCUGAGGAAGGAGAAAAGCAUCAAAAUCAAUUGAAAACCUUGAAGUUCAGCAGUCCCUCCCAAGGCAGGGUCACGCCUGCUUCCACUCAAGGUCUGCAGAAGGGGAAGGUAAGGAAGCAAAGCGGCAGGAGGCAUCAUUAAGGAACUGCGGGGGACAUGUGGACUAGAAGAAAAAUAAACCACAUCCAAUACACUGGCUGUGCAUCAGAAUUACUUGGGACACUUGCUAUAAACACAGCGGCCAGGCUUCUGAACCCAGGAGCUUGUAUUAAGGAGGAGCUCACAGGAUCUUGGUAUCUGCUUCUCUGGGUAUCUCUGGGCAUCUCUGGGCAUCCUGAUGGAGGUUGUCUACAAACCUCACUUCCAGAAAACCUGGCUUAUAAUGUCAUUCCUAAAGAUGACAGAGCUGGUGAGACAGGUCACACUUCGAGGAGAACAAAGAAGUAGUUUCAACUGGUCUGUGGUGGGACCCAGACAUUAGCCCACAUGUAACACUCCCCAGGUGAUUCCAGUGGGCAGCCAGGGUUAACACUGCCCUGUCUGGUAACAUCCGCCACAUAGAUAAAACUUUGCCUGUUCUCAUUAAAAAAGCUCAUCACUUCCUACUCCCAAGACUUGUUCAAAAUCCCAUUAGUCCCAGCAUCCUCCAUAGGAUGAAGAGGGGCGGAGGAGCUGGGGUCCAUGAGAAACGUACAGAGACCUGAGUUCGAGCCUUGGCUCAGCUACUAACUGGCUUCGAGAUCUUGAUCCUCAGUCUCCCCAUCUCCAAAAAGGUAAUGUUUGCAAUAAAUUCCUUUAGAAUGUAA
rnacentral:lncRNA from 10 species